rnacentral:rRNA from 2 species
CCAGUAGCGGCGAGCGAACGGGGAGCAGCCCAGAGCCUGAAUCAGUGUGUGUGUUAGUGGAAGCGUCUGGAAAGGCGUGCGAUACAGGGUGACAGCCCCGUACACAAAAAUGCACAUACUGUGAGCUCGAUGAGUAGGGCGGGACACGUGGUAUCCUGUCUGAAUAUGGGGGGACCAUCCUCCAAGGCUAAAUACUCCUGACUGACCGAUAGUGAACCAGUACCGUGAGGGAAAGGCGAAAAGAACCCCGGCGAGGGGAGUGAAAAAGAACCUGAAACCGUGUACGUACAAGCAGUGGGAGCACGCUUAGGCGUGUGACUGCGUACCUUUUGUAUAAUGGGUCAGCGACUUAUAUUCUGUAGCAAGGUUAACCGAAUAGGGGAGCCGAAGGGAAACCGAGUCUUAACUGGGCGUUAAGUUGCAGGGUAUAGACCCGAAACCCGGUGAUCUAGCCAUGGGCAGGUUGAAGGUUGGGUAACACUAACUGGAGGACCGAACCGACUAAUGUUGAAAAAUUAGCGGAUGACUUGUGGCUGGGGGUGAAAGGCCAAUCAAACCGGGAGAUAGCUGGUUCUCCCCGAAAGCUAUUUAGGUAGCGCCUCGUGAAUUCAUCUCCGGGGGUAGAGCACUGUUUCGGCAAGGGGGUCAUCCCGACUUACCAACCCGAUGCAAACUGCGAAUACCGGAGAAUGUUAUCACGGGAGACACACGGCGGGUGCUAACGUCCGUCGUGAAGAGGGAAACAACCCAGACCGCCAGCUAAGGUCCCAAAGUCAUGGUUAAGUGGGAAACGAUGUGGGAAGGCCCAGACAGCCAGGAUGUUGGCUUAGAAGCAGCCAUCAUUUAAAGAAAGCGUAAUAGCUCACUGGUCGAGUCGGCCUGCGCGGAAGAUGUAACGGGGCUAAACCAUGCACCGAAGCUGCGGCAGCGACGCUUAUGCGUUGUUGGGUAGGGGAGCGUUCUGUAAGCCUGUGAAGGUGUGCUGUGAGGUAUGCUGGAGGUAUCAGAAGUGCGAAUGCUGACAUAAGUAACGAUAAAGCGGGUGAAAAGCCCGCUCGCCGGAAGACCAAGGGUUCCUGUCCAACGUUAAUCGGGGCAGGGUGAGUCGACCCCUAAGGCGAGGCCGAAAGGCGUAGUCGAUGGGAAACAGGUUAAUAUUCCUGUACUUGGUGUUACUGCGAAGGGGGGACGGAGAAGGCUAUGUUGGCCGGGCGACGGUUGUCCCGGUUUAAGCGUGUAGGCUGGUUUUCCAGGCAAAUCCGGAAAAUCAAGGCCGAGGCGUGAUGACGAGGCACUACGGUGCUGAAGCAACAAAUGCCCUGCUUCCAGGAAAAGCCUCUAAGCAUCAGGUAACAUCAAAUCGUACCCCAAACCGACACAGGUGGUCAGGUAGAGAAUACCAAGGCGCUUGAGAGAACUCGGGUGAAGGAACUAGGCAAAAUGGUGCCGUAACUUCGGGAGAAGGCACGCUGAUACGUAGGUGAAGCGACUUGCUCGUGGAGCUGAAAUCAGUCGAAGAUACCAGCUGGCUGCAACUGUUUAUUAAAAACACAGCACUGUGCAAACACGAAAGUGGACGUAUACGGUGUGACGCCUGCCCGGUGCCGGAAGGUUAAUUGAUGGGGUUAGCGCAAGCGAAGCUCUUGAUCGAAGCCCCGGUAAACGGCGGCCGUAACUAUAACGGUCCUAAGGUAGCGAAAUUCCUUGUCGGGUAAGUUCCGACCUGCACGAAUGGCGUAAUGAUGGCCAGGCUGUCUCCACCCGAGACUCAGUGAAAUUGAACUCGCUGUGAAGAUGCAGUGUACCCGCGGCAAGACGGAAAGACCCCGUGAACCUUUACUAUAGCUUGACACUGAACAUUGAGCCUUGAUGUGUAGGAUAGGUGGGAGGCUUUGAAGUGUGGACGCCAGUCUGCAUGGAGCCGACCUUGAAAUACCACCCUUUAAUGUUUGAUGUUCUAACGUGGACCCGUGAUCCGGGUUGCGGACAGUGUCUGGUGGGUAGUUUGACUGGGGCGGUCUCCUCCUAAAGAGUAACGGAGGAGCACGAAGGUUGGCUAAUCCUGGUCGGACAUCAGGAGGUUAGUGCAAUGGCAUAAGCCAGCUUGACUGCGAGCGUGACGGCGCGAGCAGGUGCGAAAGCAGGUCAUAGUGAUCCGGUGGUUCUGAAUGGAAGGGCCAUCGCUCAACGGAUAAAAGGUACUCCGGGGAUAACAGGCUGAUACCGCCCAAGAGUUCAUAUCGACGGCGGUGUUUGGCACCUCGAUGUCGGCUCAUCACAUCCUGGGGCUGAAGUAGGUCCCAAGGGUAUGGCUGUUCGCCAUUUAAAGUGGUACGCGAGCUGGGUUUAGAACGUCGUGAGACAGUUCGGUCCCUAUCUGCCGUGGGCGCUGGAGAACUGAGGGGGGCUGCUCCUAGUACGAGAGGACCGGAGUGGACGCAUCACUGGUGUUCGGGUUGUCAUGCCAAUGGCACUGCCCGGUAGCUAAAUGCGGAAGAGAUAAGUGCUGAAAGCAUCUAAGCACGAAACUUGCCCCGAGAUGAGUUCUCCCUGACCCUUUAAGGGUCCUGAAGGAACGUUGAAGACGACGACGUUGAUAGGCCGGGUGUGUAAGCGCAGCGAUGCGUUGAGCUAACCGGUACUAAUGAACCGUGAGGCUUAACCUU